GCGACCAUGGCGCAGUCGACAGCGCGUAAGUCUCGUAAUCGUAAGGUCGUGAGUUUGAGCCUCACUGGUCGCA